rnacentral:rRNA from 1 species
AUUGAACGCUGGCGACAGGCCUAACACAUGCAAGUCGAGCGGAUGAAGGGAGCUUGCUCCUGGAUUCAGCGGCGGACGGGUGAGUAAUGCCUAGGAAUCUGCCUGGUAGUGGGGGAUAACGUCCGGAAACGGGCGCUAAUACCGCAUACGUCCUGAGGGAGAAAGUGGGGGAUCUUCGGACCUCACGCUAUCAGAUGAGCCUAGGUCGGAUUAGCUAGUUGGUGGGGUAAAGGCCUACCAAGGCGACGAUCCGUAACUGGUCUGAGAGGAUGAUCAGUCACACUGGAACUGAGACACGGUCCAGACUCCUACGGGAGGCAGCAGUGGGGAAUAUUGGACAAUGGGCGAAAGCCUGAUCCAGCCAUGCCGCGUGUGUGAAGAAGGUCUUCGGAUUGUAAAGCACUUUAAGUUGGGAGGAAGGGCAGUAAGUUAAUACCUUGCUGUUUUGACGUUACCAACAGAAUAAGCACCGGCUAACUUCGAG